rnacentral:rRNA from 1 species
GACGAACGCUGGCGGCGUGCCUAAUACAUGCAAGUCGAACGCAGUGGGGACGGGUGAGUAACACGUGGGUAACCUCCAAUCAGAGGGGAUACCACUUGGAAACAGGAGCUAAACAGAUAGGGAUGGAUGGACCCGCUGGGCAUUGGCUAGUUGGGGAGGUAACGGCGCACCAAGGCCACGAAGCAUAGCCGACCUGAGAGGGUGAUCGGCCCAACUGGGACUGAGACACGGCCCAGACGCCUACGGGAGGCAGCAGUAGGGAAUCUUCGUCAAUGGACGAAAGUCUGACCUAGCAACGCCGCGUGAGUGAAGAAGGUUUUCGGAUCGUAAAACUCUGUUGUUAGAGAAGCGGUAUCUAACCAGAAAGCCACGGCUAACUACGUGCCAGCAGCCGCGGUAAUUC